GCAAUAAUAGCUUAAAUUAGAGCAUUGGUCUUGUAAGCCAAAGGUGAAAUUAUAUUCUUAUUGCU
rnacentral:tRNA from 1 species